rnacentral:misc_RNA from 1 species
GAAACGCGAUAGGUAUUGUGAAUUGCAGAAUUCCGUGAAUCAUCGAAUCUUUGAACGCACAUUGCGCCCUCCGGUAUUCCGGGAGGCAUGCCUGUCUGAGCGUCAGUGAAUCCUCACUCUCCCUUUGAGGGAAAGAGUGGUCUUGAGUCCAUGAGAUACGCAAGUAUGUCUGACUUGAAAUUGAUGGGCCGGUACGUCUGGUACUUUAAGUGUGAUAGGUUAUACCAACUCGCUCAAAGCCAGGCAAUGUGUACCGGUCUUCCUUUUAUUCUAAUGUACUCUUGACCUCAGAUCAGGUAGGGAUACCCGCUGAACUUAA